rnacentral:rRNA from 1 species
UACGAAGGGGGCUAGCGUUGCUCGGAAUUACUGGGCGUAAAGGGCGCGUAGGCGGCACUGUUAGUCAGGCGUGAAAGUCCUGGGCUCAACCUGGGAACUGCGCUUGAUACGGCAGAGCUAGAGGAUGGAAGAGGCUCGCGGAAUUCCCAGUGUAGAGGUGAAAUUCGUAGAUAUUGGGAAAGAACACCGGUGGCGAAGGCGGCGAGCUGGUCCAUUACUGACGCUGAGGCGCGACAGCGUGGGGGAGCAAACAGG